ensembl:snRNA U1 U1 spliceosomal RNA
CUUGUUACCCCUCAUAACUUAUAACCACCAUCACCAAGGUGGUUCACUCACAGUGAGGCCCAGCUAUUGCACUGCAGCGGCGCUGACCUCUGCGAAUUCCCCAAAUAUGGGAAUGUAGACUACAUAAUUUCUGGCAGCGGGGGACUGCAUUCACCCUCCUU